AACGAACGCUGGCGGCACGCCUAACACAUGCAAGUCGAACGCCCUCUUCGGAGGGAGUGGCGCACGGGUGCGUAACGCGUGGGAACCUGCCCUUAGGUUCGGAAUAACUCAGAGAAUUUGAGCUAAUACCGGAUAAUGUCUUCGGACCAAAGAUUUAUCGCCUUUGGAUGGGCCCGCGUAGGAUUAGGUAGUUGGUGGGGUAAAGGCCUACCAAGCCGACGAUCCUUAGCUGGUCUGAGAGGAUGAUCAGCCACACUGGGGACUGAGACACGGCCCAGACUCCUACGGGAGGCAGCAGUGGGGAAUAUUGGACAAUGGGCGAAAGCCUGAUCCAGCAAUGCCGCGUGAGUGAUGAAGGGCCUUAGGGUUGUAAAGCUCUUUUACCAGGGAUGAUAAUGACAGUACCUGGAGAAUAAGCUCCGGCCAACUCCGUGCCAGCAGCCGCGG
rnacentral:rRNA from 1 species